CAAGCCAUGCUGGCUAGAGUAUUAUAUACUUAAUAGAAUGAUAAAGAUUAUUAACUGUCUUUUAGACUUACUCUGAUAACACAGGCAUAUAUCCUGAUCAGAUGGUUAUAGGUGUGCAGCUUUACUUCUGGGCUCUCUAUUCUGUUCCUUUGGUCUAUGUGUCUGUUUUUGUACCUGUACCAUGCCAAACAACAGAUUUUCAGUGUAGACAAAAC
rnacentral:lncRNA from 1 species